ACGUGAUCUGAGUUCAGACCGGAGCAAUCCAGGUCAGUUUCUAUCUAUAAAGAGCUUCUUCUAGUACGAAAGGACCAAAAAAGCAUGGCCUAUGCCCCAAGCAAGCCAUAGUGAGUAAUUUGUGAUUCGAACUCAACAAACAACUCACCUUCUACUAACCUCAAAACAAGAGA
rnacentral:rRNA from 1 species